GGAAAAUGUCAUCUUUAUUCUUGAAGGCCAUGUGCCCUGCUAAAAUUUUUAUGUCUAUGGAAGGACACAAGAGAUACUGCAGGACAACCAGAUUAGAAUGACUUUUCCUGUGUUUCCCACUGAACGUUUUGUCCUGUUGAUAAGACCAUCAUUUCCUCACUCAGAAAUGCAGUCUUAAGCAGAAAUAGGAACAUCACAUUGCUGAGCUGGACAAAGAAGUAGCACAAGAAAAAAAAAGAUAAAAUUAGCCUGAUAUCCUGUUUUAAACAAAAACAGCUCAAUUGGCAGUUUCGGCCUGCAGGGAAGUAGGCUGAGAGCCAAUACUGAACUACCUUUCAUCUAUGGAAAAGCUGGCCUUCGCUCAGGGCACAGCUUUGGCAGCUUAUAACCAGAUUCGAAAUCACAUUCCAUUUCCUUUUCUAUCUGCCAGAUCUCUCGCACUGGCUAACACUAUCCUUCCAGAGAAGAGCACUGAGGUGAGCAAGGAAAGAGAAUUUUUAAGUGUGGAGGUUGCGAGGUCUAGAACCUUGGAAGUCACUCAUAGAUGCAUUGUCAAGGGCUCAGAAGAGGAGAAAGACUGCCGUGGCUAUGAAGCAGAGAAGGAAGAUACCCAACCCCUAAAAAUAAGCCAAAGAUGGCUAGGAAGUGUUAUUCAGGUUGGGUUGACAAAGAGGUGCCACAGCUGGACUUCACGGAGAGAACCCCAGAAUCACCCCGGAGAUGAAGACUACCACACACCACCAGAGACCUGAGCUUGCUGCCGUGACUGGGUCCAGCUCUUGGAUGGCUUCCCUUAAAGAAGUGCUGGAUUUUUAAUAUUGAUCUUCAUUGAUUAAAAGCAAAUAAUGACAUUGAGGUCCCUCACACUCUGAUUCUUACCCCAGGGGUGACAUGAGGAAAGUCAGGUAAAAUGUCCUACUCUGUAUAACUUCAAAGUCUGCAUCUCCAAAGGAAUGGAGAACAAUGGAAUUUCUCUAUUUAUGCAUGGUAGAGAGACUGCUGUCUGCCUCCCCUCUUGAAAGGAAAAGGAGAAAAUAGUAACUUUUGCUCUUUUGAGAGGAGAAUAGCAAGGAUCCCGGAUUCCCACCCUAAACUUCUGGAAUGUAAAUAUAUCUUCCCAAGGGCCAGAUAAACACUGGACGUCUCCUGCUUUUGUGACCUAGAGAUGUUGCCAAGGCCUGGACUUCACAGAUUUUGGAAUGUAAAUACCUAGAAAGAGAGUUCUCACGUCUUUCUGUCACCUUGGGCUUAACCUAGGGACCUAGUCCAAAUGGCCACAUACCUAAUUCUCAUGAGAUGUAAAGAGCAAAAUGCUUCCAGGAAAACUGAAAACAAACAUUUCCUAUCUUUGUAUCCUUUACAUUACCCUGUCCCAGAAAGCUAGGGAUUUUUACGGUAACGCUCAGAAGUACAGGGAGUUUUAUUUCCCCACAAAAGUAAGAGAGUACAUUUUUAUGCAGGAUAGAGAAUAAUAAGCUCAAUAUUUGUGAUCAAUAGUCUAGGCAGUCAUAAUCAGUAGUUUUCAUUAACAUGAUUGUUACCAUUUCUUGUUCUCCCCUUUCAGUCAUGUGGUAAAAUUGUGUUUAACUGCCUCUUGAAGUUAGGCAUAAUCAUGUGACUUGUGUCAGCCAAUGAUACAGGAGGAGAAAGAUCAUGUGUCAUUAGCAGGUAGAAAGAGAAACCAGGGCACUGUGAUCUCUUCCCCGAACGGUAGACACUCUGACGCCUGGCAUCCCUGAAUGAGGACGAUGUGGCAUAGAGCCCAAAACGAAUUCUUGAAGCGUGUAUAGAAUGAGCAAAAACUAAACCCUUGAUGUUUUCAGUCAUUGAGAUACUGUGGUUGAUUGUUAUACAGCAUCCAUUAAACUAUCAUUUGUGACAUAUGUGCAUAUCAAGUAAUUGAAACAUUUCUAUUGAUCUCAAGUUCUGGAAGCUGAUGUGCUUUGAGCUGUUUUCUCUUCUAGGAUAUGUCACUCCCUCCCCCCGCAAGUGACACGAAAUGCUCAAGAAUUUAACCUUCCAAAGAUUGCAUCUCUGGUGUCAGCAACAAGCCAUGGAGUCUGAUCCAUUUCCCAUCAAAACAUAUUGAAGUUAAAUAUAUUUUAAAUGUAUUAAAAAUAUAUUAGAUAUUAAAGUUAACAAGAUUUGAAUUCUGUAAGAUCCCUAUGUCAACCAAUUUCCAGUCAUAGUCUACAAGUCCACAGCAAAAGUUAACCUCUGGGUAAGAAAUUUGCUUGGUUUAAGGAAAUCAAACUCAGUUCAUGUACAUAUGAAAUUUGAUGACAAAAGUAUUUUUAGUUUACUGAGAUACAGUUGGGAUUGGUUUCAACAAAACAAAGAGUGCAUUUGAAGAGCACACAGAAUAUUUCCUUGGCUUUUUAAUAUUCCACAAACAUGGUCAUUCCAAAAGAAUGAUCUGAAAAUUACUUAGAAAAAAAAUUGUUCUGUAAAUUUUCUUUACUCAAGAUUUUAUUUGUUCCCCAAAGUUAAUCCUUCUUUAUUGAGGUUCUCAUUGAGGAGUUUUACUUACUAUCUUGUGAUGUCAUAUAGGUAAUUAUUCAAAAGAAUCCUUUUAAAUGUCUAUCACAUACCUACAUUUCACACUUUGAGCUGCUGAAAUCCACAGACUAUCGUGGCGAUUCAAGCACUGUUUUGUAUUAAUAAAUUGUAUACGUGAC
rnacentral:lncRNA from 1 species